rnacentral:snRNA from 1 species
CCAGCUUCUCGGCUCUCUGAGCUAAGAUCAUGUGUAGUAUCUGUUCUUUGCAGUGUAAUUUCUGCAACGGUCUCUAAACUGAGACCAAUGAAAUUACCUGUAUUUUUCACCUCCGGACGGGUGCUGUGAGCUUGCUCAACCCCGUCCACGGGUCGGUAUUUGUGAUUCCGAAGCUUUAUUUAC